rnacentral:rRNA from 1 species
AGAGUUUGAUCCUGGCUCAGGAUGAACGCUGGCGGCGUGCCUAAUACAUGCAAGUAGAACGCUGAAAGAAGAGCUUGCUCUUCUGGAAGAGUUGCGAACGGGUGAGUAACGCGUAGGUAACCUGCCUGAUAGCGGGGGAUAACUAUUGGAAACGAUAGCUAAUACCGCAUAACAGUGCUUGUUGCAUGACAAGGAUUUGAAAGGGGCAAUUGCCUCACUAUCAGAUGGACCUGCGUUGUAUUAGCUAGUUGGUGGGGUAACGGCUCACCAAGGCGACGAUACAUAGCCGACCUGAGAGGGUGAUCGGCCACACUGGGACUGAGACACGGCCCAGACUCCUACGGGAGGCAGCAGUAGGGAAUCUUCGGCAAUGGGGGCAACCCUGACCGAGCAACGCCGCGUGAGUGAAGAAGGUUUUCGGAUCGUAAAGCUCUGUUGUAAGAGAAGAACGGGAGUGGGAGUGGAAAGUCCACUUCGUGACGGUAUCUUACCAGAAAGGGACGGCUAACUACGUGCCAGCAGCCGCGGU